CCGUGAAGCUGGAUUCGCUAGUAAUCGCGCAUCAGCCAUGGCGCGGUGAAUACGUUCCCGGGCCUUGUACACACCGCCCGUCCAAGCCAUGGGAGCCGGGGGUGCUUGAAGUGCGUCGCCGCAAGGCGCGCCCUAGAGCAAAACCGGUGACUGGGGCUAAGUCGUAACAAGGUACC
rnacentral:rRNA from 1 species